GAUGAACGCUGGCGGCGUGCCUAACACAUGCAAGUCGAACGAAGCACCUUACCUGAUUCUUCGGAUGAAAGUUUGGUGACUGAGUGGCGGACGGGUGAGUAACGCGUGGGUAACCUGCCCUGUACAGGGGGAUAACAGCUGGAAACGACUGCUAAUACCGCAUAAGCGCACGAGGAGACAUCUCCUUGUGUGAAAAACUCCGGUGGUACAGGAUGGGCCCGCGUCUGAUUAGCUGGUGGCAGGGUAACGGCCUACCAAGGCAACGAUCAGUAGCCGGUCUGAGAGGAUGAACGGCCACAUUGGAACUGAGACACGGUCCAAACUCCUACGGGAGGCAGCAGUGGGGAAUAUUGCACAAUGGGGGAAACCCUGAUGCAGCAACGCCGCGUGAGUGAAGAAGUAUUUCGGUAUGUAAAGCUCUAUCAGCAGGGAAGAUAAUGACGGUACCUGACUAAGAAGCUCCGGCUAAAUACGUGCCAGCCGCCGCGGUAA
rnacentral:rRNA from 1 species